AAACGGGGAGGGCAGGUUAUUUAUGCUGGUGAACUUGGUCGCCACUCUCACAAACUAGUCGAAUAUUUUGAGGUGAUUCCAGGCGUUCCAAAGAUCACAGAAGGAUAUAAUCCUGCGACGUGGGUGCUGGAAGUUAGCUCUCCUCUAUCUGAGGCUCGCCUGAACAUGAAUUUUGCUGAAAUUUAUUCUAACUCUGUGCUUUAUAGGAAAAACCAAGAGCUGAUCAAGGAGUUGAGAACACCCCCACCAGACUACCAGGAUCUGUCAUUUCCUACAAAAUAUUCGCAGAAUUUCUACGGCCAAUGUCUUGCAAACUUUUGGAAGCAAUACCGUUCUUACUGGAAGAAUCCAUCCUACAAUGCCAUGCGCUAUCUGAUGAC